rnacentral:rRNA from 1 species
UACGGGGGGGGGCGAGCGUUUGUUCGGAAUUACUGGGCGUAAAGCGCGUGUAGGCGGCUUUGCAAGUCGGAUGUGAAAGCCCACGGCUCAACCGUGGAAGUGCAUCCGAAACUGCAUGGCUUGAGUCUCGGAGAGGAAGGUGGAAUGCUUGGUGUAGAGGUGAAAUUCGUAGAUAUCAAGCAGAACACCUGCGGCGAAGGCGGCCUUCUGGACGAUGACUGACGCUGAGACGCGAAAGCGUGGGGAGCAAACAGG